UGGCCCGUAGCUCAACGGUGAGAGCGUCUGCCUUAUAUGCAGCGGGUUACCGGUUCGAGUCCGGUCGGGUCAA
rnacentral:tRNA from 1 species